rnacentral:rRNA from 1 species
UGCGUAGGAGGCUUGUUAAGUCGGUUGUGAAAUCCCCGGGCUCAACCUGGGAACUGCAGUCGAUACUGGCAAGCUAGAGUUCGGUAGAGGGUGGUGGAAUUUCCGGUGUAGCGGUGAAAUGCGUAGAGAUCGGAAGGAACACCAAUGGCGAAGGCAACCACCUGGGCCUGAACUGACUCUGAGGCACGAAAGCGUGGGGAGCAAACA